rnacentral:rRNA from 1 species
AGAGUUGAUCAUGGCUCAGGGAUGAACGGCUGGCGGCGUGCUUAACACAUGCAAGUUGUGCGGUGAUCUCAAGAAGUUUCGGACGGAAAGGGAGAGCAGCAGCGGACGGGUGAGUAAAGCACAAGGACUUGUCCCGAAGAGGGGGACAACUGUGGGAAACCACAGCUAAUACCCCAUAAGCCGAGAGGUGAAAGCAGUAAUGCGCUUUAGGAGAGACUUGUGUCCUAUCAGGUAGUUGGUGAGGUAACGGCUCACCAAGCCGAAGACGGGUAGCCGGACUGAGAGGUUGUACGGCCACAUUGGAACUGAGAGACGGUCCAGACUCCUACGGGAGGCAGCAGUGGGGAAUCUUCCGCAAUGGACGAAAGUCUGACGGAGCAACGCCGCGUGAGUGAAAGAAGGUUUUCGGAUCGUAAAACUCUGUUGUCAGAGAAGAACAAGUUGGAGAGUAACUCGCUCCAGCCUUGACGGUAUCUGACCAGAAAGCCACGGCUAACUACGUGCCAGCCGCCGC